rnacentral:lncRNA from 1 species
AAUGUGAUAUCGUUUAUUUGUGUAACCUGAAACAUGAUCACCGAGCUUUUUUUUAAUCAUUAGGAGAAGAUUUCUGCAUCCUACCUCACCGUUAAUUUCUAUCAAGUUGCAUUUUUCAUUAUCCUGGCCCUGUCAAAUUCUUUUGCUUCCACUGAACUAUCCGAAAUUCCUAACUUUAAAUGGAAAGCCAAGCUGCCCUUUUGUAAGGCCAACUUGGGGUAGAAAGAAAAAAGGUGUACUUCAGCAGUUUGUGUGGAAUUAUUAUUUACAUGUACAAAAGAGUCGUGAGUCGAGGAAAGAUAAUAUGCAGUCAUGUUGGGCAUUCCGAGAAUUGAAGGCCAGCCUUAUAUAACUUUAUGUUGUUGUGAAUAAUACAAUGCUAAUGCAGAGAAGUCACCCUGGUGCAAAUUUUUGGCAAAUUGUGUCAUAUUUAUUUAUACGAGAAAGGUGUUUGAUGAUAAGUUGGAAUUUUUUGAAGUAAUACUUUGGUGAACAAGUGUUUAACAAUUAGUAGAAUUAGAAUAAGUUAUGUUUAAAUGCAGCUUUACUGAAAAUGGUAAUGACUCUGAGGCAUAAACGAAUUGGUGGCCAGUGGAUUGCCA